UAGUGCGGCUUCAAUAUGCUGGUCUCACUGCAACUAUACCAGUACACAUCCAGCAGGUACAGUUGCCCUGGCUAUAUGAUCAAAAAGGAGGAACGUUCCAAGACAGAGUGACUGUGGUGGUAAAGACCUUCUACCGGUACAGCAAUCUCAAGCGGCUCAUCGCCUCUUUUCAAGAGCACUACCCAGGGACGAGAAUGGUCAUCGCAGACGACACCCCCGGCGAGCUCUUCACCAGUGUUCAAGCACCUAACGUCGAUCAUUUCCGGAUGCCAGAAAAGACGGGUUACUUCGCCGGUAGAAAUUUGGGGCUAUCACAGGUGUCAACGGAAUACUUUCUGUAUACCGACGAUGACCACUACAUCAGGAAUGACACAAGACUGGACAUGUUUGUAUCACUGUUGGACAA